UAACGCCAACAAAAAAGCGUGGGCUUUUUUGAACGUUGGCUAUGCCGACGGGGCUGAAAGCCCGAGCAAAUUUCGCAGUCGCGAAAAUUGCGAGUAAAUCGCGUG
rnacentral:ncRNA from 1 species